CCUCCCAGACCCUCCCACCUCCUGGACAGCAUCAUUUUGAAUUGUGAAGCUUCAUUCUUAGUGAGCUGUCCAGGAGGUGGGAGGGUCUGGGAGG